CCUACGGGAGGCAGCAGUAGGGAAUAUUGGUCAAUGGACGAAAGUCUGAACCAGCCAUGCCGCGUGAAGGAUGAAGGCCCUAUGGGUCGUAAACUUCUUUUAUUAGGGAAGAAACCUUAGGAUGCGUCCUAAGCUGACGGUACCUAAUGAAUAAGGAUCGGCUAACUUCGUGCCAGCAGCCGCGGUAAGACGAAGGAUCCAAGCGUUGUCCGGAUUUACUGGGUUUAAAGGGUGCGUAGGCGGAAAAUUAAGUCAGUGGUGAAAGCCCGCAGCUCAACUGUGGAACUGCCAUUGAAACUGAUUUUCUUGAAUAUAGUUGAGGCAGAUGGAAUAUAACAUGUAGCGGUGAAAUGCUUAGAUAUGUUAUAGAACACCGAUUGCGAAGGCAGUCUGCUAAGCUAUUAUUGACGCUGAGGCACGAAAGCGUGGGGAGCGAACAGGAUUAGAUACCCUGGUAGUCCACGCCCUAAACGUUGAUUACUCGCUGUUGGCGAUAUACUNUNAGUGNGUAGAGAAGACGUAGUAAGUACACGNGGAGACGACGCGAGUAGUUAAGUUACAAGAAGUUAGUAGCGNGAGAGNGCGACGGACGACGACGAGGAGGAGG
rnacentral:rRNA from 1 species